UACGAGGGGGCAAGCGUUGUUCGGAAUUAUUGGGCGUAAAGGGCGCGUAGGCGGUUUGACAAGUCUGAUGUGAAAUCUCUGGGCUCAACCCAGAGUCUGCAUUAGAAACUGUCGGGCUUGAGUAUGGGAGAGGUGAGUGGAAUUUCCGGUGUAGCGGUGAAAUGCGUAGAUAUCGGAAGGAACACCUGUGGCGAAAGCGGCUCACUGGACCAUAACGUGACGCUGAGGCGCGAAAGCUAGGGGAGCAAACAGGG
rnacentral:rRNA from 1 species